GAUGAACGCUGGCGGCGUGCCUAAUACAUGCAAGUCGAGCGAACGGACGAGAAGCUUGCUGCUCUGAUGUUAGCGGCGGACGGGUGAGUAACACGUGGAUAACCUACCUAUAAGACUGGGAUAACUUCGGGAAACCGGAGCUAACACCGGAUAAUAUCUUGAACCGCAGGGUUCAAAAGUGAAAGACGGUCUUGCUGUCACUUAUAGAUGGAUCCGCGCUGCAUUAGCUAGUUGGUAAGGUAACGGCUUACCAAGGCAACGAUGCGUAGCCGACCUGAGAGGGUGGUCGGCCACCCUGGAACUGGGCCACGGUCCAGGCUCCUACGGGAGGCAGCAGUAGGGAAUGUUCCGCAAUGGGCGAAAGCCUGACGGAGCGACGCCGCGUGAGUGACGAAGGUCUUCGGAUCGUAAAACUCUGUUAUUAGUUAAGAACAGAUGUGUAAGUUACUGUGCCCAUCUUGACGGUACCUAAUCAGAAAGCCCCGGCUAACUACGUG
rnacentral:rRNA from 1 species